UUGGAGGGCAAGUCUGGUGCCCGCAGCCGCGGUAAUUCCAGCUCCAAUAGCGUAUAUUAAAGUUGUUGCAGUUAAAAAGCUCGUAGUUGAAUUUCGGGAUUAGUACGUUGGUCGUGCCUUCGGUACGUACUGGUGUUACUGAUUCCUACCUUCUGACGAACCAUCAUGUCAUUAAUUUGGUGUGGCGGGGAAUCAGGACUGUUACUUUGAAAAAAUUAGAGUGUUUAAAGCAGGCUCGCGCUUGAAUACAUUAGCAUGGAAUAAUGAAAUAGGACGUUGACCCUAUUUUGUUGGUUUCUAGGAUUGACGUAAUGAUUAAUAGGGAUAGUUGGGGGCAUUAGUACUCAAUUGUCAGGGGUGAAAUUCUUGGAUUUAUUGAAGACUAACUACUGCGAAAGCAUUUGCCAAGGAUGUUUUCAUUAAUCAAGAACGAAAGUUAGGGGAUCGAAGACGAUCAGAUACCGUCGUAGUCUUAACCAUAAACUAUGCCGACUAGGGAUCGGAUGAUGUUAAUUUUUUAAUGACUCAUUCGGCGCCUUACGGGAAAC
rnacentral:rRNA from 1 species